rnacentral:rRNA from 1 species
CCUGAGAGGGUGGUCAGCCACACUGGGACUGAGAUACGGCCCAGACUCCUAAGGGAGGCAGCAGUCGAGAGGCAUCGGCAAUGGGCGAAAGCCUGACCGUGCGACGCCGCGUGGACGAUGAAGGCCUUCGGGUCGUAAAGUCCUGUCACAGGGGGGAGAAACACACCUCGCUAAAUAGGCCGGGUGUCUGACGUUGCCCCUGGAGAAAGAGCCGGCUAACUCCGUGCCAGCAGCCGCGGUAAUACGGAGGGCUCAAGCGUUAUUCGGAAUCACUGGGCGUAAAGGGCGCGUAGGCGGGUCGCGGGUCGGCCGUGAAAUCCACCGGCUCAACCGGUGAACUGCGGUCGAAACUUCGACUCUUGAGCUUGGUAGAGGAAGACGGAAUUCCUGGUGUAGCGGUGGAAUGCGUAGAUAUCAGGAAGAACACCGGUAGCGAAGGCGGUCUUCUGGGCCAUAGCUGACGCUGAGGCGCGAAAGCUGGGGGAGCGAACAGGAUUAGAUACCCUGGUAGUCCCAGCCGUAAACGAUGGGCACUAGGUGUAGGAGGUACUGACCCCUCCUGUGCCGCAGCUAACGCAUUAAGUGCCCCGCCUGGGGAGUACGGUCGCAAGACUGAAACUCAAAGGAAUUGACGGGGCCCCGCACAAGCGGUGGAGCAUGUGGUUCAAUUCGACGCAACGCGAAGAACCUUACCGGGGUUUGACAUGGGCCGGACAGGCGUGGAAACACGCCCUCUCUUCGGAGUCGGUUCACAGGUGCUGCAUGGCUGUCGUCAGCUCGUGUCGUGAGAUGUUGGGUUAAGUCCCGCAACGAGCGCAACCCUCGUCGCCUGUUGCCAUCGGGUUAUGCCGGGCACUCUGGCGAGACUGCCGGCGAUAUGCCGGAGGAAGGCGGGGAUGACGUCAAGUCCUCAUGGUCCUUACAUCCCGGGCUACACACGUGCUACAAUGGCCGGUACAAAGGGUUGCAAUACCGCGAGGUGGAGCCAAUCCCAAAAAGCCGGUCUCAGUUCGGAUUGGAGUCUGCAACUCGACUCCAUGAAGUCGGAAUCGCUAGUAAUCGUGGAUCAGCAUGCCACGGUGAAUACGUUCCCGGGGCUUGUACACACCGCCCGUCAAGCCACGAAAGCUGGUAGUACCCGAAGUCGCUGAGCUAACCCCUCGGGGAGGCAGGCGCCGAAGGUAAGACCAGCGAUUGGGGCUAAGUCGUAACAAGGUA